GUGUGCUUAGCGUCGUAUUAGCAUUAGCUAGUCCGGUUUAACACACACAUAUCACUUUUGCCUGUAACAGGGUUAACAAAAUGAUGUAGAUGUUUGUUUUCAUUUAAAUAUCUAAAAAAACAGUUAGAGCGUAAGCAUGUCAAUUAUUGAAUUUAGCACAAUCUAUGAGUUUAUACUAUUGAAACAUAGAAUUUCAAGCGAAACAACUUUGUGAUUUUUUUUUUUCCUCUUCAUUAUCGGAAAUAUACCCAUAAUUAUAGAAUCACUCGAAUCUUCUUGUUGCCACGAAUCUCUGAAACAACCUCACUGUAUUUUAAAGUCAGGAAUAUGGUUUAAUUUAUUGACAUCUAAUUUUUGUUUUCAAUUAGAUAAUAUUGGGUUUAUUUAAAUACAUUUUGACUGGUGGUCAUAAUUCUCCAUCCAUCGUGUAGUUUAAUCUAUAAUUUACCUUUAAACUUUAAUUUAAUAAUAGGAAUUUUAAAAUGUUUGGAGCAGAUAAAGAUGUGUGAUUAAUUUGUGAUUAAUUAUGAUUAACCAGAGUUAGUAUAGUGUUUGUAUGUGUAUUUAGUGUGGCUGUCAAACUAUUAGAUUUUUGUAACUAGUUAAUAACAAUAUUACUGUGUGAUUAAUUAUGAUUAGUCAUGAUCAAAAUACUAAAAUGACUUGUAUUUUGAUGUUCUCCUUUUCUUUGAGCAUGCUGUGACUGCAAGGGGAGAGGCUGGGUGUCCUAGUCUGUGCAAGACUUAAGAUUUGAGGCAGAGUUAUUUAAAUAUCCAGACGACAUACACUCAGGAAAUUCAAGACCAAGUGUGUGGAGCCAUUCACCUCAACUUCCAUUAGUUCACAAAAGUGUCCCAGAAAAGGGGGUCAUCUGCCAGUGACAGGCCUGAGUGUAUAAAUAUAUGUAAGGAUGACAUGAAAAGUUUUUGGUUUGCUGCAAAAGUUCCCUGAGCUGGAUGCUCAAUCAUCAAAACUGCUCAAGUUUUUUGGCAAGAAGGGUGGUGCUGAGGGAAGAAAGGUCAAGAUCAUCCUGAUGCCCCUGAUCCAGACUGACAACAUUGAUGUGAAAAGAGAGUGCCUCCAUCAGGCGCUGUUGGUCUACCUGAACGAAGACCCAGAGAAAGUGGUGAAAUAACACAUGGGCUCUGAUGUUGACAACGGUCAAGCUGAAAUGGAGACUGUCUUCAGAGUAUUUGUGAUUCGCAGAGAAGGUGCAGAACGUGACGAUGGUCCAGAGGAUGUGGGUGUGGAGGGGGUACAAGUCCUCAUUGAGCUGGGUAAUGGAGCAGUUGCAAUGCUGUUUGCUUUAGUUUAUGCACUCAAUCUCAGCUACCCCCCAGAGUGGAAAUACACUUUCAAAGCUCUGCAGAAAUUCAUCAUGAGGGUUGAUGGACAGAGGUUCUCUAAGAAACUGCAGGUGCUGAAAACCCUACUUACGUGUUAAUAUUUUGCAGGGUAACUUGUCUUCAACAAUGAAAGUAUCCCGGAGUCAUGUUGGGGAGCCGUUCAGUCAAUAUUAGUUUUUAAAAAUGACAGUCUGUUUUUAUGUUUCAAUGCUCCCAAUUGUUGCAAAAAUGUGGAGAAGCUUUCUGUUCCUUGUUGAUCUAUUUCUGUGUUAACAGUGCUUCAAAUUGUUGCCUUGUUUGAAUUUGAAAGUCAUGUGUAUGGGUAUUUCAGACUAUUUUUCCAUACAAAAGCAAAGAUGAUAAUAGGUAAAUCCGUUUCAUCUGAUUUAAAAUUUUAAAAUGAGACUGUAUUUUAGCAUUGCAUAUUAUAGCAUCAAAAUACUCGUACUCGUCGGCUUCUGCUUCUUCCGGGACCGGGUCGCGGGGGCAGCAGACUCAGCAGAGACACCCAGACGUCCCUCUCCCCAGACACCUCCUCCAACUCCUCCGGGGAGAGCCCAA